AACGAACGCUGGCGGCAUGCCUAACACAUGCAAGUCGAACGAGACCUUCGGGUCUAGUGGCGCACGGGUGCGUAACGCGUGGGAACCUGCCCUUAGGUUCGGAAUAACUCCCCGAAAGGGGUGCUAAUACCGGAUAAUGUCUUCGGACCAAAGAUUUAUCGCCUUUGGAUGGGCCCGCGUUGGAUUAGCUAGUUGGUAGGGUAAAAGCCGACCAAGGCGACGAUCCAUAGCUGGUCUGAGAGGAUGCUCAGCCACACUGGGACUGGGACACGGCCCAGACUCCUACGGGAGGCAGCAGUGGGGACUAUUGGACAAUGGGCGAAAGCCUGAUCCAGCAAUGCCGCGUGAGUGAUGAAGGCCUUAGGGUUGUAAAGCUCUUUUACCCGGGAUGAUAAUGACAGUACCGGGAGAAUAAGCUCCGGCUACCUCCGU
rnacentral:rRNA from 1 species